AUUGAACGCUGGCGGCAGGCCUAACACAUGCAAGUCGAACGGUAACAGGAAGCAGCUUGCUGCUUCGCUGACGAGUGGCGGACGGGUGAGUAAUGUCUGGGAAGCUGCCUGAUGGAGGGGGAUAACUACUGGAAACGGUAGCUAAUACCGCAUAAUGUCGCAAGACCAAAGAGGGGGACCUUCGGGCCUCUUGCCAUCGGAUGUGCCCAGAUGGGAUUAGCUUGUUGGUGGGGUAACGGCUCACCAAGGCGACGAUCCCUAGCUGGUCUGAGAGGAUGACCAGCCACACCGGGACUGAGACACGGUCCAGACUCCUACGGGAGGCAGCAGUGGGGAAUAUUGCACAAUGGGCGCAAGCCUGAUGCAGCCAUGCCGCGUGUAUGAAGAAGGCCUUCGGGUUGUAAAGUACUUUCAGCGGGGAGGAAGGGAGUAAAGUUAAUACCUUUGCUCAUUGACGUUACCCGCAGAAGAAGCACCGGCUAACUCCGUG
rnacentral:rRNA from 1 species